rnacentral:rRNA from 1 species
GACGAACCGUGCGAACGUUAUUCGGAAUCACUGGGCUUAAAGGGCGCGUAGGCGGGCUCGCAGGUCAGGGGUGAAAGCCCACGGCUCAACCGUGGAAGUGCCUUUGAUACCGUGAGUCUCGAGGGAGGUAGGGGCGUGCGGAACUUCCGGUGGAGCGGUGAAAUGCGUAGAUAUCGGAAGGAACAUCGGUGGCGAAAGCGGCGCGCUGGACCUCUUCUGACGCUGAGGUGCGAAAGCGUGGGGAGCAAACAGG